rnacentral:antisense_RNA from 5 species
AAUUAUGGUGGGCUGGGUGGGGGCGGAGAAAUCCGCGCCGGAGUCCAUACAGUCCGGUUACGCCAACCCUGCUCAGUCCACCACCAGU